GGGCCCGCACAAGCAGCGGAGCAUGUGGUUUAGUUCGAAGCAACGCGAAGAACCUUACCUAGACUUGACAUCCCCUGCAUAACCCAGAGAUGGGCGAAGUCCUUCGGGACAGGGUGACAGGUGGUGCAUGGUUGUCGUCAGCUCGUGUCGUGAGAUGUUGGGUUAAGUCCCGCAACGAGCGCAACCCUUAUCAUUAGUUGCUGCCAUUUAGCUGGGCACUCUAGUGAGACUGCCCGGGUUAACCGGGAGGAAGGUGGGGAUGACGUCAAAUCAUCAUGCCCCUUAUGUCUAGGGCUACACACGUGCUACAAUGGUGAGUACAAAGAGAUGCAAGAUCGCAAGGUGGAGCCAAACUCAAAAACUCAUCCCAGUUCGGAUUGUAGGCUGCAACUCGCCUACAUGAAGCCGGAGUUGCUAGUAAUCGCGAAUCAGCAUGUCGCGGUGAAUACGUUCCCGGGCCUUGUACACACCGCCCGUCACACCAUGAGAGUUGGUAACACCCGAAGUCCGUGAGGUAACC
rnacentral:rRNA from 1 species